CGCAGCCGCGGGAAUACGUAGGGUGCGAGCGUUGUCCGGAAUUACUGGGCGUAAAGGGCUCGUAGGUGGUUUGUCGCGUCGUCUGUGAAAUUCCGGGGCUUAACUCCGGGCGUGCAGGCGAUACGGGCAUAACUUGAGUACUGUAGGGGUAACUGGAAUUCCUGGUGUAGCGGUGAAAUGCGCAGAUAUCAGGAGGAACACCGAUGGCGAAGGCAGGUUACUGGGCAGUUACUGACGCUGAGGAGCGAAAGCAUGGGUAGCGAACAGGAUUAGAUACCUCUGUAGUCCCUGUCUCUUAUAA
rnacentral:rRNA from 1 species